AACGCUAGCUACAGGCUUAACACAUGCAAGUCGAGGGGAAACGACAUCGAAAGCUUGCUUUUGAUGGGCGUCGACCGGCGCACGGGUGAGUAACGCGUAUCCAACCUGCCCACCACUUGGGGAUAACCUUGCGAAAGUAAGACUAAUACCCAAUGAUAUCCCACGAAGGCAUCCGAAUGGGAUUAAAGAUUUAUCGGUGAUGGAUGGGGAUGCGUCUGAUUAGCUUGUUGGCGGGGUAACGGCCCACCAAGGCAACGAUCAGUAGGGGUCCUGAGAGGAAGGUCCCCCACAUUGGAACUGAGACACGGUCCAAACUCCUACGGGAGGCAGCAGUGAGGAAUAUUGGUCAAUGGGCGAGAGCCUGAACCAGCCAAGUAGCGUGCAGGAUGACGGCCCUAUGGGUUGUAAACUGCUUUUAUAAGGGAAUAAAGUGGGUCACGUGUGACUUUUUGCAUGUACCUUAUGAAUAAGGACCGGCUAAUUCCGUGCCAGCAGCCGCGGUAAUACGGAAGGUCCGGGCGUUAUCCGGAUUUAUUGGGUUUAAAGGGAGCGUAGGCCGGAGAUUAAGCGUGUUGUGAAAUGUAGUGGCUCAACCUCUGCACUGCAGCGCGAACUGGUCUUCUUGAGUACGCACAACGUGGGCGGAAUUCGUGGUGUAGCGGUGAAAUGCUUAGAUAUCACGAAGAACUCCGAUUG
rnacentral:rRNA from 1 species